rnacentral:misc_RNA from 1 species
CUCUCUCUCUCUCAACACAACCGAACUAACAUCCCUCACUCUCUCUCUUACCACAAAAUGGCUCCCAUCAAGGUCGGCAUCAACGGCUUCGGCCGCAUUGGCCGCAUGGUGUUCCAGGCCAUCUGUGACCAGGGCCUUAUCGGCACCGAGAUCGACGUCGUCGCCGUGGUGGACAUGAGCACGAAUGCUGAAUACUUCGCGUACCAGAUGAAGCACGACACGGUGCACGGCCGCCCGAAGUACACGGUGGAGGCUGUGAAGAGCAGUCCGUCCGUGAAGACGGCGGAUGUGCUUGUGGUGAACGGCCACCACAUCAAGUGCGUGAAGGCGCAGCGCAACCCCGCGGAUUUGCCGUGGGGCAAGCUCGGCGUGGACUACGUGAUUGAGUCUACUGGCCUGUUCACGGACAAGUUGCAGGCCGAGGGCCACAUCAAGGGUGGCGCGAAGAAGGUCGUGAUCAGCGCUCCGGCGUCUGGCGGCGCCAAGACAAUCGUGAUGGGCGUGAACCAGCACGAGUACUCGCCGACGACGCACCACGUGGUGUCGAACGCGUCGUGCACGACCAACUGCCUGGCCCCCAUCGUGCAUGUGCUGACAAAGGAGAACUUCGGCAUCGAGACUGGUCUGAUGACCACCAUCCACUCCUACACGGCGACGCAGAAGACGGUGGACGGCGUGUCGCUGAAGGACUGGCGCGGCGGCCGCGCGGCGGCCAUGAACAUCAUCCCGAGUACGACCGGCGCCGCCAAGGCUGUGGGCAUGGUGAUCCCGUCGACCAAGGGCAAGCUGACCGGCAUGUCCUUCCGCGUACCGACGCCGGACGUGUCCGUCGUGGACCUGACGUUCCGCGCGACGCGCGACACGUCGAUCCAGGAGAUAGACAAGGCCAUCAAGAAGGCGGCGCAGACGUACAUGAAGGGCAUUCUCGGCUUCACCGACGACGAACUCGUCAGCUCUGACUUCAUCAACGACAACCGCAGCUCGGUCUACGACUCCAAGGCGACACUGCAGAACAACCUACCCGGCGAGAGGCGGUUCUUCAAGAUCGUGUCGUGGUAUGACAACGAGUGGGGCUACUCGCACCGCGUGGUGGACCUGGUGCGCUACAUGGCUGCCAAGGACGCUGCCAGCGCGAAGAUGUAGGGGGUUUUGUUCAGGUACGGGAGCAACGCAGUUGGCAGGCGCUCACUGAGUGUGUGCUGAGUUGUGUUUGCUGCCGGCGUAUGUGCUCCCUCUCUUUUUCUAACGAGUGCUUUUUGAUUGUGCUGCGAUCGAUGCUUGCGAGGAUCGUUGUGCCGUCUCGAAGUGGGGCGCGAAAAGCCGCGCAGCACCUCUUCGCAUUUUGUUUUCUUGUGUAGUAAGCGGGCUGCGCCUGUGUUUGCUUUCUUGUUUGGGGCGAAGGACUUUCCUUUUCUUCACUUCUCCAAGCGCCGUGGCUCUUGGCCGCGCAUCUCUGUGCGUGUGUGCUGGUUCUUUUUUUUUGGUGGUGGUGGCGCUCCGUCCAGGAUGCCUGCAGAUCCGUCUCAUACGCUUGGAUCUUGUCUCCCCCUCCCUCCCCCACCCCAAGAGCAGACUGAAAGUGCGGAAUGCCGCACGGGGAGGGGAGGGAAGGAGGGGGGGGCAACUGGUAGUCGUCGGUGGCCGGGAUGGCAUUUGAGCUACCUUUUUUUUUUGCACAUGUGAGCUCUGCCGUACUAUUCUCUUUGUACCACUGCCAACCCUCACUCCCUCACCGCCUCAUUGGUUCUCCGUCGUUUGGCUUUUUAUUGCGGGCAGGAGGAGUCUGACGUGUGUUAGUGAAUCUCUUAUACACAGAGAUACACAUGCGUGUCGAUCUCUCUCUCUAUAUAUAUAUACAUGCACACAUCGAUCUAUAUAUGUGUAUCUGCUCACACGUGCCCAUGCAUCGUCCCUCCUCCUCCCUCUGCCUCUCUUUUUCGUUCUACUUUGUCUCUUACCCGGUUCUGUUCCGCUUAUUAUGAUAUGGCUGUUUUCCGUGCGAGCGGAGUCCUGCACGUGCGUAUGUAUAUAUGUGUGCGGGGGAGAGGUUGUGCGAAAGCAGGACGGAAAGUCACCCGUUUCGCAUAUUCCAUGCUUUGUUGUCUUUCUCCUUCUCUGCUGCUGUAUUCCUCGAAGGCGCACUCGCGAUGAUGUCUCCAGCGAAAGUGAGCAACACAGCAACGAAAAAAAAAGAUUAUAUUAUGAUACAGAGAAAUGUAUGUCGAUACACACGCGCAAUGAGGCAAGAUAGAAUGGGGAGGGAUAAGAGACAAGGGAAAAUGCACAAAAACAGAGUUCAGGAGCGAGUAGAGGACAUGUUGACACAUGGAUAAGGCGGACUGGUAAUCGCAGAGGUGCGCCUAUAUCGAAGCUGGCUAUUGCCGGCUGACUCGCCAUCUUCCACCGUUAUCGCCUCAUCUUCCCAUCACCGCCCUUUCACCUUUCGUAGCAACUACCUUGUGCGCUUAUCUCCUUCUCUAAAUUCAGUGUUACCCCCCCCCCCCAAACUGCAGCGUCCUCCUCAACACGCCCUCGUCAACCUCUGUGGUGGUAUGCCUGCCCUCCUCUUUUGUUUUCCCUCGUCUCCGCCCGCUACCCAUAUUUGUCUCUCCGCCCCUUUCACUACAGGUUGACUCUUUGUGCGUGUGCGUGCGUGUUACCGUCUUCUCUUCUCUCGCAUUUUCUUCUCGUGUGUGAUACCCACAGAAGAAAGGACGGAAGGAAAUUCAACAACAAAAAUGUGUGCACGACUCGCUUGCUUUCACCCCUUCACUUGUUCAUCGCCGUCCCCUCCUCCCCCCUCUCAUCCUUUCCUUCCUCUUCGUCGGUGCAGAUGGCUAUACCUCUAGGUUGCUGUUGGAUGUAGUUACCUGCGCGUCUUGGUGAUCAAAGGCUAUCCCUCCCUCUCCUCCUUCUUUCUCUCUAUUCCCGAAGGAAUGCGCAUGACUGUAACGAAGAAAGUGAUGAACGAAAAAAAAUGAAAACAACAAAAAAGGACCGUGAGUGGCACAGGGUGGUGGGUCAACGUGUUCAACUGCAAAACAGCUUCUUCCCAUCUCCCACCCACUCCCAUGGGCGCAUAUCCGGCGUGUGUGUGUGUGUGUGUGAGCGGGCGAGUGACUUUCGGUCAGCUUCUCGUAUCGCCCAUUGACAGCCGCGUGUGAGAGUGGUGUGGCUGCGCGUGGAGAAGAGAGGAGUGCGCGUAGCGGGAGUAAGCACAUAUGUCGUGUGCCCAUCGCUGUCGGUGCUUCGGCGACAGCAGGCCCCUCUCGUCUUGGGGAGGGGGCUAAAAGAGCACCCUCACACCCGCCUCCCCACCCAUCCUGUCCAUCGAAUGUGAGAUGCAUGUGCGUAUCUGUAGCGAUGUGUUGUGUGCGUGUUCGCAAGGCGCGCGCACACCUACGUCCGCGAAGCACCAAGUACACGUAGACAAACAGCACACACGUGCACUACCCCUUGUACUGUUGCACGAUGCGACACGCCCGCACGCUGCUUCUCUGUGUCCUCUUCGGUCUUCCUGCUUGCUGCUCGCGGCGCUCGACUGCUUUUUUUCUCUUCUGGUCUCUCUCACACACAUACAUGUGCAUACGCGCGCGCGCCAAACUCUACCUCCGCACGCACGUGCUCGACGCCUUCGUUGGAAAGGGCAACGCCUUCCCCCGCCCCCCCCCCCACCCACCCACCCACGCACACACACAG